rnacentral:rRNA from 1 species
UACGAGGGGGGCGAGCGUUGUUCGGAAUUAUUGGGCGUAAAGGGUGCGUAGGCGGUUUGGUAAGUCUUGUGUGAAAUCUACAGGCUCAACUUGUAGUCUGCACGAGAAACUGCCGGGCUUGAGUAUGGGAGAGGUGAGUGGAAUUCCUGGUGUAGCGGUGAAAUGCGUAGAUAUCAAGUGGAACACCAGUGGCGAAGGCGAGUCUCUGGACAUUUCCUGACGCUGAGGCACGAAAGCCAGGGGAGCAAACGGG